GGGGGGGGGGGGGGGGGGGGCGGGGACGGGGGGGGCGGGCGGGGGGGGCGGGGGUGGUGGCGCGCGGGUGGGGGACGCGUGGGAAGCUGCCCUGGGGGUGGGCGUAACAGUUGGACACGACUGCCAAUACCGGAGGCGGACGUAAGUCCAAAGAUUUAUCGCCCAAGGAUGAGCCCGCGUAGGAUUAGCUAGUUGGUGAGGUAAAGGCUCACCAAGGCGACGAUCCUUAGCUGGUCUGAGAGGAUGAUCAGCCACACUGGGACUGAGACACGGCCCAGACUCCUACGGGAGGCAGCAGUGGGGAAUAUUGGACAAUGGGCGAAAGCCUGAUCCAGCAAUGCCGCGUGAGUGAUGAAGGCCUUAGGGUUGUAAAGCUCUUUUACCCGGGAUGAUAAUGACAGUACCGGGAGAAUAAGCGCCGGCUAACUCCGUG
rnacentral:rRNA from 1 species